rnacentral:rRNA from 1 species
UACGGGGGGAGCAAGCGUUGUUCGGAUUUACUGGGCGUAAAGGGCGCGUAGGCGGCCACCGCAAGUCGGUUGUGAAAUCUCCGGGCUUAACCCGGAAAGGUCAAUCGAUACUGCGGGGCUAGAGUGCAGAAGGGGCAACUGGAAUUCUCGGUGUAGCGGUGAAAUGCGUAGAUAUCGAGAGGAACACCUGCGGCGAAGGCGGGUUGCUGGGCUGACACUGACGCUGAGUGCGCGAAAGCCAGGGGAGCGAACGGG